rnacentral:rRNA from 1 species
UGGGGAAUUUUGGACAAUGGGCGAAAGCCUGAUCCAGCAAUGCCGCGUGUGUGAAGAAGGCCUUCGGGUUGUAAAGCACUUUUGUCCGGAAAGAAAUCCUUGGCUCUAAUACAGUCGGGGGAUGACGGUACCGGAAGAAUAAGCACCGGCUAACUACGUGCCAGCAGCCGCGGUAAUACGUAGGGUGCAAGCGUUAAUCGGAAUUACUGGGCGUAAAGCGUGCGCAGGCGGUUUGCUAAGACCGAUGUGAAAUCCCCGGGCUCAACCUGGGAACUGCAUUGGUGACUGGCAGGCUAGAGUAUGGCAGAGGGGGGUAGAAUUCCACGUGUAGCAGUGAAAUGCGUAGAGAUGUGGAGGAAUACCGAUGGCGAAGGCAGCCCCCUGGGCCAAUACUGACGCUCAUGCACGAAAGCGUGGGGAGCAAACAGGAUUAGGUACCCUGGUAGUCCACGCCCUAAACGAUGUCAACUAGUUGUUGGGGAUUCAUUUCCUUAGUAACGUAGCUAACGCGUGAAGUUGACCGCCUGGGGAGUACGGUCGCAAGAUUAAAACUCAAAUGAAUUGACGGGGUCAUAGCUGUUUCCU